rnacentral:ncRNA from 1 species
ACGCGGCUUAUAGUUUCAGGUGCCUUCAAGAUAACAAUCUUGAAGGUGAAACGGGAAACUGGUGCGUCUUUCUACCAUAACUUUGUAAAGAUCAUUCCAGUGCUGCCCCCGCAACGGUAAUUGAGCUCAUUGUUUGCAAAAUGCCACUGUGCAACCGCAUGGGAAGGUGCAAACUUUAAGCAGCAUCGCUCAUAAGCCCGGAGACCGGCCUGAAGGCUAUUUUUGGCA